rnacentral:rRNA from 1 species
UUACCGAGUUUACACUCCCAAACCCAUGUGAACAUACCUACUGUUGCUUCGGCGGGAUUGCCCCGGGCGCCUCGUGUGCCCCGGAUCAGGCGCCCGCCUAGGAAACUUAAUUCUUGUUUUAUUUUGGAAUCUUCUGAGUAGUUUUUACAAAUAAAUAAAAACUUUCAACAACGGAUCUCUUGGUUCUGGCAUCGAUGAAGAACGCAGCGAAAUGCGAUAAGUAAUGUGAAUUGCAGAAUUCAGUGAAUCAUCGAAUCUUUGAACGCACAUUGCGCCCGCCAGUAUUCUGGCGGGCAUGCCUGUCUGAGCGUCAUUUCAACCCUCAUGCCCCUAGGGCGUGGUGUUGGGGAUCGGCCAAAGCCCGCGAGGGACGGCCGGCCCCUAAAUCUAGUGGCGGACCCGUCGUGGCCUCCUCUGCGAAGUAGUGAUAUUCCGCAUCGGAGAGCGACGAGCCCCUGCCGUUAAACCCCCAACUUUCCAAGGUUGACCUCAGAUCAGGUAGGAAUACCCGCUGAACUUAAGCAUA